CCUACGGGAGGCAGCAGUGAGGAAUAUUGGUCAAUGGGCGCAAGCCUGAACCAGCCAAGUCGCGUGCAGGAAGACGGCCCUAUGGGUUGUAAACCUCUUUUAUCGGGGAGUAAAGCACGUCACGUGUGGCGCUUCGCGUGUACCCUAUGAAUAAGCACCGGCUAACUCCGUGCCAGCAGCCGCGGUAAUACGGAGGGUCCGGGCGUUAUCCGGAUUUAUUGGGUUUAAAGGGAGCGUAGGCGGGAUGUCAAGCGAGCUGUAAAAUUUGGGGGCUCAACCCUGGCCGUGCAGCGGAAACUGGCGUGCUUGAGUGCGCGGGAAGCAGGCGGAAUGCGUGGUGUAGCGGUGAAAUGCAUAGAUAUGACGAAGAACCCCGAUUGCGAAGGCAGCAUGCUGGAGCGGAACUGACGCUGAUGCUCGAAAGUGUGGGUAUCGAACAGGAUUAGAUACCCGGGUAGUC
rnacentral:rRNA from 1 species